AUUGAACACUGGCGGCGUGCCUAACACAUGCAAGUCGAGCGGUAACAGGUGUAGCAAUACAUGCUGACGAGCGGCGAACGGGUGAGUAAUGCUUCGGAGUCUACCCAAUGGUGGGGAAUAACCAGCCGAAAGGUUGGCUAAUACCGCAUACGUCCCACGGGAGAAAGCAGGGGAUCGCAAGACCUUGCGCCAAUGGAUGAGCCGAAGUCGGAUUAGCUAGUUGGAGGGUAACGGCCUACCAAGGCGACGAUCCGUAGCUGGUCUGAGAGGACGACCAGCCACACUGGGACUGAGACACGGCCCAGACUCCUACGGGAGGCAGCAGUGGGGAAUAUUGGACAAUGGGGGAAACCCUGAUCCAGCGACGCCGCGUGUGUGAAGAAGGCCUGCGGGUUG
rnacentral:rRNA from 1 species